UAGGGCCCAAGCCAGCCAGGAAGGAGGAGGCAGCCAGAGUGGCCACCACUGUUCUCUGCAGCAGAAGAGCCCUUGCUGCCAGGCUGCAAAGGCUGCGGACCUUCCUGCGCAAGCGGAGGCCCAAGUCUGGUCCACCAGAAGGAAGCAGCAAAAGAUAAGAAGAGGGUGCCACAGUGCCCAUGGCUGCUCAUCCCAAGAGCUGGCACUUGAUAGCCUGCUGCAGAAAGCCAAGAGACCACCAGGAUCUUGAACGGCAGGGGAGUUUUGGCAUCAGCACUCCAUCAGCCCCUCCCAGAACCAAAUGGUACCAUCUGUGCAGGCAGAGGGAGGCUGUCACUGUCAAGGAUGGGGGAGAAGCACACAAACUCUGGCAGUGCUUCAGAUUCCCAAACAAGCACUCUGAGAAUCAUAAGCUGCCAGAGACUCAGGUGAAGGAAGAGAAACCACCAAAGUCAGUGGACAGCUCAACAGAGAGGGUCUGAAUAUGGGAAGAAAUGGGCCACACAAAAACAGGCAUAGCUCGAGGGCACUUGGAAACCAGUCUGGAGAUUCAUUAGGCAGCAGUAUGCACUGCACCCUCAUCUCCUCAGAUGAAUCAGAGCUGGAGGACCUAAAACUGGGUGAGGAGCUCAUGGUGGACCGCUCAACACAGACGGUCUGGGAAGACCUGAGCGAUACUAGGAGGCAAAGCUCCAGACCAGAUUGGAACCAGUCUGGAGUGAGCAGUAUGCACUGCUCCCUCGUCUCCUCAGACCAAUCCCAGCUGGAGGACCUUAAACUGCAUGAGGAGCUAAUGGUGCUCAGCCCAACAGAGCGGGUCUCCAGAUGGGAAAACAUGGGCUACACGGACAGCCAAAGCUCCAGAGCGGUUUGGAACCAGUUUGGAGAUUCAUCAGUGAGCAGCAUGCACUGCUCAGUCGUCUCCUCAGACCAAUCCCAGCUGGAGGACCUUAAACUGCAUGAGGAGCUAAUGGUGGUCAGCCCAACAGAGCGGGUCUCCAGAUGGGAAGACAUGGGCUACACGGACAGCCAAAGCUCCAGAGCGGUUUGGAACCAGUUUGGAGAUUCAUCAGUCAGCAGCAUGCACUGCUCCCUUUUCUCCUCCAGCUCCUACCAGUCUGAGGUGGAGGACUGCAAAGUGGAUGAGGAGCUCAUCAAAAUCAUCCACAGGCUUAUGGAGGACAGAGAGGAGAGAGCCAACAAUCAGGAUGAGGAUGUCCAUUUCCUCGCGGUCCUCUGUGCUUGCUGCAAGGCUGCAUAUAAGAGCGGCCAGGAGACUCUGGAUCUCCCCUACACCAAAGGAGAAUUGAUAAAGGCAAUCGUGGCCAGAGCAGCAGAAACGCUUGGGAGCUGUGGAGCCGGAGACGGCAGGAGGAUGGAAGAAUACUGGCCUAUCUCAAUGCAGCCAGAGUUGGGGAGGUUUUCAGGGAGAUCUUUAAUAAAGAUCAGCAAAGAUCCUUCCUGAGGACCACGAUUUGGGCCAUUAAUCAUCCCCUCCACAGGGUUAAGGAGGCUGGACUGAUCCUGCUGUACUCCCUCCUGGGCAAGGCCGAUGCACUGAUGGGGUAUGAGGAGGUGGAAAUCAGGAGGAAAAUCUGGCAUUGUCUCCGCCAAUUCAAGGACAGCAAAGGGCUGCCGAAGAACUCCAAGGUCUCUAUGAAAACCAAGUUGACUUACUGAUGGACCUUGGCAGUGAAGCUAAGCUGCCUACCCUCCCAUGACACCUUCUUCCUUCCCUCCCAUGACACCUUUCCUUCGUAACAUGAACGUAAUAUUUAUUCGGUCCUUGACCAGCAGUAUUACAGGUACAGACAUAAAAACAUAAACUAUACAUUAGCACAUAUUUUACAAAGAAUAUAACAGUAUUUAGCCGCAGUUCUAAUUUUAUCUUCAUCACAUAGAGAAAAUAAAAACCUCAAUGAAACAUCAUCUGCUCUUCCAUUAAAAUUUAUCAGAAGGGGAGAAAGUAGCUUUCCUCUGGCUUCAUCAUAGAAGCUACAAUGUAAAAAGGCAUGUGCUAUUGUUUCAACACAGCUCUUAUCACAAGGACAUACACGAUUCACCAGGGGAAUUCCUGCAUAUCUACCAAACAGAACUGCAGACGGAAGGACAUCCAACCUGGCCAGCAUCAUGGCUCGUCUAUAUUCAGGAAUCGUAACUACCUGGAGAUAGAGGGCCAAAUUAAAUCCACUCAAUUGGUCACCCAGGAACGAUCUUUUAGAUAUCUGGGAAAUUUCAUAUUGCAAUUCAAUGUCCAUUAGGCGUUGAAUAAUUUGGAUACGAGCUCUGUCGUAACCAAGCUCCUGUAUGGCCUCUAAGGAGUAGCCACAGCGGGCCAGCUUAUCAAUGGCCUCAGUGUGCCAUCUAAAUUUAAAGGAGUCCUGUUUUAGAAAAGCAACCAAACCCUCCUGCAAAUAAUAAAUUUUUAACCAGUAAAGAAUAAUGACUCUCCAUAAGCAUGUCUGUAGCCUAAUCAUUCCGACCUCUCUUCUCAGAGCCACCGUGGGGGCACAUCUGGGAACAGCCAGUACAGCUCUUAAAAUUUUUGACUGCAGUGCCUCCAACGGGUCAAGAUUUUUAACUAUGCCCAACUGAGCUCCAUAAAAAAGUUGAGGCAAAACCUUUGCCAAGAAUAGACUUGUGGUUUUAAAUUGUUUUUAAAAUGUCUGUUUUAUUUUGUUUUAUGUUUUUGUAAACAAAAUAAAUUUUCACUCAAAUGAAACUUGAUGUGGAUACAUGGAUCUCCUUAGCUAACAUCAUUUGGA